GACAGAGGUGCCAAGCGUUACUCGGAAUUACUGGGCGUAAAGCGUGCGUAGGCGGUUCGUUAAGUCCGUUGUGAAAGCCCUGGGCUCAACCUGGGAAUUGCAGUGGAUACUGGCGAGCUAGAGUACGGUAGAGGAUGGUGGAAUUCCCGGUGUAGCGGUGAAAUGCGUAGAGAUCGGGAGGAACACCCGUGGCGAAGGCGGCCAUCUGGACCAGUACUGACGCUGAGGCACGAAAGCGUGGGGAGCAAACAGG
rnacentral:rRNA from 1 species